rnacentral:rRNA from 1 species
AAACCGCCUAGAGGUAAACGGGUGGAUCCGCAAAGUCGGCUUGCGAAAUUCAGCUCGGAAGGCUGGCGCGGGCGGCAGGUCCCGAGAUCAUCGAAAGACUCGCCUGUCGUCCGCCCGCCGGCUCGACGUGUGCACUUUUCGCAGGCAGAGCGCCACGACCGGUUCUCCGGCAGUCAGAAGGCGGUUGGGAAGGUAGGCGGGCGCCUCGCCGCGUUCGCUGUUAUAGCCCAACCUGUCCCGAGCUGCCGGGGGACCGAGGAGCCGCCGCCCGGCUGGAAGCUGUCCCCCUGCUCUCCCGGGAGGCCCCGACUGGCAGAGACUGGGCAACCGUGUCUGCCGACUGCCUCCCGGGACGGACCGGGGGUGUCCCUCGUAGCUGGCCGGGCACAGGGUCGGUGGCGAAUCGGUCGGCACUCCACCCGACCCGUCUUGAAACACGGACCAAGGAGUCUAACAUGCGCGCGAGUCGUUGGGCUGUACGAAACCCGAAGGCGAAGUGAAAGCGAGGGCCGUCCUUGCGACGUGCUCAGGUGGGAUCCCCGCCACCUCGUGGGCGGGGCGCACCACCGGCCCGUCUCGUUCGCGCCGUCGAGGAGGCGGAGCAAGAGCGUGCACGUUGGGACCCGAAAGAUGGUGAACUAUGCCUGAGCAGGAUGAAGCCAGAGGAAACUCUGGUGGAGGUCCGCAGCGAUUCUGACGUGCAAAUCGAUCGUCAAACUUGGGUAUAGGGGCGAAAGACUAAUCGAACCAUCUAGUAGCUGGUUCCCU